GAUGAACGCUGGCGGCGUGCCUAAUACAUGCAAGUCGAGCGAACAGGCGCGGAGCUUGUUCCUCUGACGUUAGCGGCGGACGGGUGAGUAACACGUGGAUAACCUACCUAUAAGUCUGGGAUAACUUCGGGACACCGGAGCUUAUACCGGAUAAUAUCCUGAACCGCAUGGUUCAAUAGUGAAUGACGGUUUUUCUGUCACUUAUAGAUGGAUCUCGGCUGCAUUAGCUAGUUGGUACGGUAACGGCUUACCAAGGGAACGAUGCGUAGACGACCUGAGAGGGGGGUCGGCCACAUGAGAGCGGAGACGGGGUCAAGAGUCCUACGGGAGGCAGCAGUAGGGUAUCGGACGCAGCGGGCGAGAGCCUGACGGAACAAGGGCGCGUGAGUGAUGAAGGUCCUGGGAUCGUAAUACCGUGUUUUUAGGGGUGAACAGAUGUGGAAGGAGCUGUACACGGCGUGACGGUACCGAGUCAAGAAGCCCCGGCUAACUACGUG
rnacentral:rRNA from 1 species